CUCGGCAAAAUGACUCAGUAACUUUGAGAGAAGGAGUAGCUUUAUUUUAGGGUAACCUAGCAUAGCUAUUACAAAAUCAAGGACAUCGACUGGUUAAUAAAACUAUAGGUCUCUGCAAAGUU
rnacentral:rRNA from 14 species